CUAACUUUAUGAUUCUUUAUAUUUAAAUAUGUUAUAUAAAGUAGUGCUUGAACUUGGAUUAAAACACCAAACACUUCUCCUUUUUUGUGGAAUCUCGUGUAUUGUUUUAUUAACUCUGAAACUUCUUUUAAGACCUACUGGUGAAUAUUCGUCACUUCAAAUCCAACUAUCUCGUGAAAGAAGGGUGAAACAUAGUAAGACCUUGCGGACAAAUGACAUUGAAAUGCAAGAAGAGUCAGCCUAUGAGAAUACAAAAGAGACCUGAUUUGAAGGAGGAAUCAAUACGCAAAAGUUCAACGAACAGUUUACAAUAUAUAAAUAAUACCUCACAAGCAGUGUAAGCAGUGAGGCUGUACCGGGAAAGACAUAAUGCCGCGAUUGUUUGAUAUAACGACGUUCAUUUAGAUGUUUAAAUUAGUCAAUUAUUUAUAUGUAUCUGCUUUCGGUUUUUAUGUAUAUGUAUAACGUAUAUCUUGCUAUGCCCAUGUUUAUGACACAUAAGGCAAUAGAAAUAUGUUAUCAACAAAACUAUCAUAAUAUUUGCACAUUAUAAUUUUAUUGUCUAUAACAAUCAACAAGGAUGUCAUCUGUAUUGCUUUGUACAAAGCUGUUUAGUUAAUCGUAUACUCGUUGGUAAGCUAUGUAAUACAAUUAGAGUACAAACUCCAACAUAUGUAAAGGUUAUUUAGUAAUAUAUAUGUAUAUGGGAUAUGUAAUAUGUAUUAAUCACCAAAAGGAGAUGGUAAACAAAAACUAUCGAAACAUUUACAAACUACUAUCGAUUAAAACCGAUUAUAAUGAUAAAUUAGAUAUAAUAAUGUAUUUGGUUACCUAAACGUCAUAUUUACUUGAGAGCACGUGUGACCAGUGCAACUGAUUAAACUCAAUUAGAUGGCGUUAUGCCCUAUCAAUUUAGAGUCCUAUCGAUUGACACCACAGAUUCACUAUUUAUAUCUAUGCCGAGAUCUAAUGUUGUGUUCACAUGUGGUGACCAAGUGAUAGAAUAUGUAAAUCAGUUUAAAUAUAUGGGUUUAGUUUUGAUAGUUUUGAAUGAGUUUUUGGAUAUUGAUGUUACUGCUAAGAUGGUAGCUCAGAGUGCUAGUAAAGCUUUAGGUUUACUUAUUGCCAAAGUUAAUACAAAAUUGGUGGUGUACCAUACGAUGUAUUCACGAACUUUUACGACUCAGUUGUUUGGCCAGUCAUUGCUUACGGGGCGGCUAUAUGGGGCAUAAAUCCUUUCCAUGUGUAACAGCUGUCCAGAACAGGGCAAUGCGGUUAUAUCUAGGAGUGGGGAAAUACACCCCAAAUCUUGGUGUUUCUGGAGAAAUGGGUUGGACUCCAGUCCCUAUCCGCAAAAGAAAAGUGGUGGCAAAUUACUGGGCCCGUCUUUCCACUACCAAUUCCUCUAGAUUAAUCAAGCGCAUAGCACUAUGGGCUAGCACCAAAUCAGAAAGAUGUAAAAAUUGGUUUUUCUUUGUGCGAAAGCAUCUAUCUCAUUGCAAUCUUAAAAAUCAUUACGAUUUUUCUAGACCUAUAUCCAAAGGUGUUAUUGUUAAGGACAUUGAACAGUUUAUGUUAAAUGAAUAUGAAGUAGAUUGGCUACAAAGAAUUAACUCUAGUAAUGGUGUAUCAGGUAGAGGUGGAAAGCUUAGAAGCUACUGUAUAUUUAAGCAGAACAUUGGUGUUGAUAAAUAUUGUAAGUUAAUAAUCCUUAAGAGUCAUAGAUCGGCCCUGUGUAAAUUUAGGUGUGGCGUUGCUCCGAUUCGCCUCGAGACAGGAAGGUAUAAAGGUCUGCCUGCUGACAGACGCUUCUGUCCAUUUUGUAGAGAUAAUACAAUUGAAAUUGAAAGUCAUAAAUUAUUAGACUGUAGCAUGUAUAAUAAUAUCAGAAAAAAAAAUGAAAAUGUCGAAUAGCGAUAAGCUGAAAUCCCUUUUUAUCAAUGAAGGAUUAACAAGAAUCCUAGCCAAAACCUGCUUUUUAAUGUAACAAAGAAGAAAAUUUUACAUAUGUAAAUAAGUAGUAGUGUUGCAUGUUUUAGGUAAGUAGCAGCGAUAGUAUAUUUAUUAUCUUUGAUAUAUCAUGUACUUGUGUAAAAUAAGAAAUUCUAGUCAUAAGUUGAUAGUAUAUUGAGUGUCUUUGUGUAUAGAUUCUAUUAUAUAGGAUUACAGAUGAUCAAUUCUCGCUCAAUUAUAGUUCUUUAGGCUUUAAUGAAAUUAGUUGUUUACUGUAUUAUAUAAAUAUCUCCUAUUAUUUUACCAUCUGAAAUAACUGUUUUAUUAAAAUACAGAAGGCCACUUUUAACCAGUCCACUUAGGAUCUGAUCCUAGCUGGUAGUCGCUCUUUUACAUCAUUUUUCACUAUGCGCAUUAGUGCCCUGUUUUACAAUCACCAGUGUGUGAUCAGCUUCAAUAUUUUAUUGCAGGUGUUUAACAAAAGGUUAACAGGGGCAAUCUGGUUUUAUGAUGCAUAUCAAUGAAACAUGGUUUUGUAAAAAAGGCAAUAGUUUUAAUCGUAAAAGUACACACUUAAAAUGUCUAUUAUAAAUCUAUAAGAUUGGCCAUGCAUGUUUGUAAAUUGUGAUAUUUUAUGUAUUUUAUUGUACAUGUGAUGGAUUAGACAAUUAACUUUGAAACUCUA